GAUACGGCCCAGACUCCUACGGGAGGCAGCAGUGGGGAAUAUUGCACAAUGGGCGCAAGCCUGAUGCAGCGACGCCGCGUGGGGGAUGACGGCCUUCGGGUUGUAAACUCCUUUCGCUAGGGACGAAGCUUUUUGUGACGGUACCUAGAUAAGAAGCACCGGCUAACUACGUGCCAGCAGCCGCGGUAAUACGUAGGGUGCGAGCGUUGUCCGGAAUUACUGGGCGUAAAGGGCUCGUAGGUGGUUUGUCGCGUCGUCUGUGAAAUUCCGGGGCUUAACUCCGGGCGUGCAGGCGAUACGGGCAUAACUUGAGUACUGUAGGGGUAACUGGAAUUCCUGGUGUAGCGGUGAAAUGCGCAGAUAUCAGGAGGAACACCGAUGGCGAAGGCAGGUUACUGGGCAGUUACUGACGCUGAGGAGCGAAAGCAUGGGUAGCGAACAGGAUUAGAUACCCUGGUAGUCCAUGCCGUAAACGGUGGGCGCUAGGUGUGAGGGUCUUUUCACGACUUUCGUGCCGUAGCUAACGCAUUAAGCGCCCCGCCUGGGGAGUACGGCCGCAAGGCUAAAACUCAAAGGAAUUGACGGGGGCCCGCACAAGCGGCGGAGCAUGUGGAUUAAUUCGAUGCAACGCGAAGAACCUUACCUGGGCUUGACAUACACCGGAUCGGGCUAGAGAUAGUCUUUCCCUUUGUGGCUGGUGUACAGGUGGUGCAUGGUUGUCGUCAGCUCGUGUCGUGAGAUGUUGGGUUAA
rnacentral:rRNA from 1 species